GGCCGGCCGCCAUAUUGGAGCCCUGGAGCUGCGGCGGGCCAAGGCUUCGUGGGGCUCGUGGAGCUGAGAGGUGGCAUGGUGUCUGACCCCUGCCCCAACCACUGAAUUUUCGUUACGUCCUGGAUUGCAAAGGACCUCAGAGCAAUCUUUGGUAGAUAACAUGAUCACGAAGGAUUAUAGCUUUGCCCUGAUAAUGACAAAGGAAGUAUCUACCAGAAGAAGUUAGCACUUAAUCUUUCUUACCCCACCAGCGAAUGUAAACGACAUUGAAAAGGGACUACAAGUAAGCAAUCUUACUCGGACUGAUGCUGAAUGAACUAAUGCUUGUAUUCAAAGUUGAUAACCAUGGAAAACUUUUUUGUUACCUCUAUAUUAAUUGUGCAAAAUAAUGUGUUUCGUUGUGACAUCUUCAUGCAAGUAAUGUUAGUUAACACGUUCAUCAACCCCUUCCCUUACCCACCAAUGAAAAUGCAUUCAGAUUACUUAAAGGACUUUGGAGCCUAUUUGCUCUGCAUCUCAAAUUACACCUUUUCCCCAGUAACUAAAACAGUACUGUGUGUUUGUUUUUCAGGUUCUGAGGUUCACUAGAGAAAGAUACUAGAAGACCUGCUGAGGGUCUCUGAGAAGUUAAAAAUGCUGAUAUGCAUAAUUUGUGUAUUUUAUUUUUCCCUCCUGAGCUUUUCGAAGGAGAUGCAUAGCUUGGUGGUGAGGAUUCACACAGCACGGUCAAGACCCUGGAUUGGAUCCCUGGCACUGGUUUGUUUGUAUCAGUGAAAAUACACACUGUGCCUUUGUUAGAAGUUAAUAAAAUUCAGCUGACAUGUAGAUCUUCCUUUCAAAAAGCUAGGCAGGCUGCUUUUAAAAUUGCCAAAACACAAUAGGAACCCUCAAAGAUAUAUGGAGAUGAUGGUAGUUAAUAGGCAGUUUUCAAAGACUUGGCUUAUGUUGUGAGAAGCAGCCCCAGAAGUGGCAAAAGCCAUUCUUGUGACUUCAGCAACCUAAAAACCUCAGAAAUAUGACGAUUCUUCUACCUGUAAUGAUGGUAAGUACCAAAAAGGAAACAGUAUUUACCGUUUCUCUUCUGCCCUUUGAUUGAAAUGUAGAAAUGGUUCAGACUAAUGAGUCUUUGUUUUAAUAAGAUAUUUAUAUGAGUAAUAACCUUAGCUUGAGUUAUGUGGAAGACUGAUGUAUUGAAAGAAAAUAACAGGUUGGAUGAAAAUAGUGUGAAAAAUGGGGCCGAUAUAAUGUGAUGGGUUCUAUAAAUUUGUCAUGUAUUUGAAGUAUUCUAGCCUUCUAUAUAAUGGAUAGUCAACCAAAAUGUGUGGAAAAAAUAUCAGUGUCUUUUAUAAACACUACAAAUUAAGUCUUAACUUUCAUAGGAAAAAAAUUCCAUAUUCUUUAGAAACUUAUGGGAAAACAUUUUACCAGGAAAAAAAAUGUAUCUUUCAGACCUCUUUGAUUAUGGUAAAUGCCACUCCCCAUUUCCUUACAUUGAUACAGAUAGGCACAUCAUUUAGCAAGUACGGUUUGGGGGUUUUUUAUCUUUUUCCCUUGGAGUAAAUCUUCAUUUUACCUAAUAAGAGAACUAAAAUUUUUCAUAUUUUAGAUAUUCUUUCACAUAGAUUUUUGCUGCUGGAUUUCCUACAUGGUUUAAGUAAGGUAAAUGGAACAAAUGUCUCUCAAAAUUUGAAAUCUAAAUGACAUCAGAUUUAAAUUAAUGACUACCUAGAAAAGCAAGCUUUCCUUAUCUUAAGAUCACAUUUCUCAGAUUUUAACAGGCUUGGAUAAUUAAAGGGGCACUAGAAAACAUGUCUUUGCAAGAAUAUAUGCUGAUAAACUAUAUGUGUUAAUAAAUAUAACCAUUUCCAGAAAUUCAGAUAUGCAGAAAUGCUCAUCUGCAACCAGUUUGGUAAGUGGGUAUACAUUCAUAGGUCUUUGAGAAUUUUUGAUGAUGCUGUCUGCAAGAAUUUGCUAUAAACUGGAAUCUUCUGAUUUGUAUUUUUUUAUACACAGCUUUAUUGAAAUGAAAUUCACUUAUACACUUCACCUAUAUAAAGAGUGCAAUCCAAUGGGUUUUAGUUUGCUCAGAGUUUGAGCUAUCAACACAGUUAUACAAAAAAAAAAAAACUAUGCAAAACCGUUCUUGUAAGUAUAAGAAAAUAAUUUAGAAUGAUGUUCUUCUAAAGUGGUACUAUAUAAAGCUUACUGUGGGUAAUGUCUUAGAGUCCUUCAAUUAUAGUUGCAAUACUGCAAGUAAAUAGUAUGUUCCUUGUAUGUAAUAAGUGACCUUUACUAGCAACAGAUUAUUGUGUAGCAUAGAUUACUGGCAGUUACAUGAUAUAACACUGUCACAGUUGAGAAUUCUUUAAGGGUGACGCAUACUUAAAUUGAUUGCUUUCUUUUUCUGUGUGAUUAUCAUGCUGGGCAUUAGGUAUGCCUUAAUUGAAUUUUAGUCCCUGAGUCUGUUCCAUGUCCAGUGUUUAUGUUUGUGUCUUUCUAAAACUUGACUUUAUCUUUGCUUUAGAGAUGACUCCUGAGCAUUUUUUUCCAAGCUAGCAUUGUUUCCCCAUGAAGACUAAAUUUUGUUAUGUUUCAUGUAAACUCUGAGUUAACAAUAUAGUGAAGAGUCACCAGAUUUCAGGGUUUAAGGAAUGAAUGAAUGGAAUAGAGCAAAGCAGGUAUCAAAUGAAGAUAAGCGGUUUGAAUCUCUAAAAGAUAAAUCUUGGUAGGGGCAGGUAGAAUUAAAAGGUUUAUUUUAAGUGUUAGAAGCAACAACCUACUUAUUUAAAUAUUUACUUUUAAAUAUUUAUAUACUUGAGUAUUUUGCCAUCAGAAGAGAGUGUCAGAUUGCCGUGGAACUAGAGUUAUAGGUGGUUUUGAGCCACCAUGUGGGUGUUGGUAACUGAACUUGAUCUUUUGAAAAGCAACAAGUGAACCAACUCUGUCCUCUCACAAGAGGAUAUAUCCUCAGACUUUAGUUUCUUUUUUGGUUCUUUUUUUUCGGAGCUGGGGACCGAACCCAGGGCCUUGCGCUUCCUAGGUAAGCGCUCUACCACUGAGCUAAAUCCCCAGCCCCCAGACUUUAGUUUCUUAAUCCCCUCUUAGAAAGUAAAGUCUAGUCCUAAGUCGUGUACAGUGAUCACGCCCUAAAGCAAUCUGAGGACAUUUAAACUUACUGGGGAAACCCAGCCAAAAAGGCAAAGAAAAGGAUCUCUGAAAUACUUUUGCAGUAAUUUUCUUGCAUAAUACUCAGUGGUUUGGGUUUCUUUCUAAAACCCAGCACUGGAGGUAGAAAGAGGGAAAACUGUGACUUGGAGCCCAGCCUAGACUGUGUGGGGAAUUCCUGUCAAACCAGGAAAUUUUUUCAUUGAAUUCUUUUUCUUUUCAUAAUUGCCAUUUUCAAGUCUUCGCUGCCCAUAUAACCAAACUUGUGUUUUGUGCAUUUUAUAUGACACUACUCAAAAAAAAAAAAAUGUUGUAAGCAGUGACCAUGAACCUUACCUACUGAGUAAUGUCAUCCUAAAGUAUGGUAUUUACACUUCAUUAAUGCACAUCAAACCCAAAUGGGAUCUUUAAAACCAUUAUUGGAGAGAGUAUUAAAUGUUCAGUGAAUGUGACUGGUCUCUGUUACUGACAAUCUGUGAUUGUGUAGAUAUGAAAGAUGCAAAAGGAGAGAAGCAACUGAAGGCGAUGUUAGCCCUCUGUACAUGUCAUCAAUCUAAUUCUAACAGUUAAAAAUUACAACUUUACAUUGCCUGGAGUUAUCUCAUUACUUACCUGUUUUCUCUAGAGAGAUAACUAGAAAGAUAAGUGGGGGGGGGGGGGAAUAACAGCAAAGACAGUAAGAGUACCAUAGAAUGAAAAACUAGAAAUCAAGGUUCACUUGCCCCGAACAUACACACAUACCUUCCCCACCACCACCACCUUUUUUUUCCAGAGACAGAUUUUCUUUAUAGCUCUGGCUAUCCUGGGGCUAUCUGUGAAAACCAAGCUGGCCUGAAACUGACAGAGAUACACCUCGCCACCCUUUCUUUUCUACUAAGCUAAUUAGGUAACUAAUAACUGUGAGGUGUUCCAGAAUAAGUUUCAAGUUAAGUAGAAAUAAGUUGGUGUUUCUUUGAGACAGGGUUUUUCUACAUAGCCUUACCUGGCUGCUCUAGAACUCACUGUGUAGACCAGGCUGGCUUUGAACCCACAGAGAUCCUACUGCCUCUGCCUCCCUAGGGCCAGGGUUACAGGCAUGUACCACCAUGCUGACAAAAAAAUGAGUUUCUUAUAGCCUGUCAUGGCUGAGGUAAGUAAAUUUUUAGAGGAUAGAUACUUCAGUACUGUGACAGAAGUGGCUUAAAAAGUAUUUGACAUGGGAAGUAAUUCUAUCAUGCAUGAUAGAAUAUGUAUGUCCCAUCCAUUUGGGAGAUGUGAUACGCAGAUCCCUAAAGUCAGAUGGGUCAGAUGGCCGGCUUAAGGAAUAACAAGUGUAUGGGAACUCCAAAAUCCAAAGUGCAAAUAAGACUGUUUGAUUGAUGUAAAACUAAAGUAUUUGUCAAGCCAUUUCAGCUACUAUACAUCAUGGUAGGUAAGUAGAUACCUAUGGUCACAAUAGAUCAGCAGAAAGUUGGUUUUGUCAUCUAGUGUAGGCUUUAGCAAUAGAAGGAUGAGUCUCACUUUCAUAUGAUGUUGGCAUAUUAAUUCUGGGCUUUUACUGGUAUAAAAAUUAUUUGCCUACUUCAUUGAAUUGUCCAAAGAAUUAAGGAAGUAUAUGAAGAAAAGUACUUAAUAUUCCCAACGGCAGUAUUGUGUAUGAUCUUAGGACAGAAUCUGAGGGAAAAACAACUUUAUGCACUAAGAUCCACUAAACUAAAAGUUACCACUUUUAAGCAUUAAAAGUUGACUUUCUGUAUUAUAAAUCCAUGUUCUUUCAGUUUUAACUGUCAUCAAUACUAUAUUUAGUAAUACCCUAUAUAAUAUAUAAAAUCUCUGCAUAUACAAUUUACAGUUAACCAGAAAACUUCCCAUUAAAGAUGGAAAUAAUGAGAGCAUCUGAGUAAUAACUACCCAUUUGGGAGAUGUGAUAUGCAGAUCCCUAAAGAAAGACGGGUUGGAUGGCCUGCUUAAAGACUGACAGGUAUAUGGGAACUCCACAAUCCAAAGUGCAAAGAAGACUGUUAGUGUCUAGACCCUCCAUUCCUGCACUGACUAUGAUGUCAGUUUAGAGGAGUGAGGUCUGAAUCAGUCCUGAAUUUUAAAAUGAUCUUAGCACAUUACUAAGUUCGGAGACAGGCAGACAGAUCUCUUGAAUUCAAGGCCAACAGGAACUACAUAAUGAGAUCCUGUCGUACAAAAUAACCGAAAACACCAACAUGAAUAAUUUACCACCAAAGUCAGAUUUCUCCAUAUAGAUGGUCCUAAUUCACUUGAGUCCCCUGCCCCUACUAGACACCUAUAUUGACCCUAUGGCUUUGUGUUUACAAAUGCUUGUUUUGCCACUGAGUGAUAUGUCCAGUCCUAACUUUUUUUUUUCCUUUUUUCUUUUUUUCGGAGCUGGGGACCGAACCCAGGGCCUUGCGCUCGCUAGGCAAGCGCUCUACCACUGAGAUAAAUCCCGAACCCCCAGUCCUAACUCUUAAUUGUAAGCCUAGUUCCCAGUGUGUCUCAUCCUUGUUACAAUUCCAAGACAGAUACUAGAGCAUUAGAUACUCAGUGAAGCAUAUUGUCCAACCAUGUAAGUAAGUGUUGUUUAGAUUCAGUGGGUAGAUAAUAUAAUUACUUUAGGGAAAUUGUAAAUUGGGGAUUAUUAAUGUGUUAUUAAAACAAAGGUAUUGAAUAAGAAACUGCUCUAUAAUAUACUUAAUAGUGUCAAUAUUUGAACCACAGUUUGAACCAAUUGUAAAUUUUUUAUUCAAUAACAAUUGUGUACUGAGCUUAAGGGCCUGGAGAUACAAUGAUACCUGUGCCCCUCCAAGUCAUGACAUACCCUGUUUCAGUAUCAUGGAUCCCCCCUCCCCUUUCUUUAAGUGUAUAAAGUACAGUGGGUUAAUUAAGGAAGAGAGUAAUAGGGGUUGGGGAUUUAGCUCAGCGGUAGAGCGCUUGCCUAGUGAGCGCAAGGCCCUGGGUUUGGUCCCCAGCUCCGGAAAAAAAAGAAAAAAAAAAAAGGAAGAGAGUAAUAAAUCUUAAAUUUUUAAUUGUUACAGAGAACUACAUUUUUUUUUAAACUCUAGGUUAUCAAGUAGUGUCCAGCAGACAUAUUUCAAAGUGCCUGCAGGAAUGUUAUAAGAAAAUGUACUUCAAGACAUUUACUGCUAAUACUGUAAUUUGUUUACAUUAAGCAUUUUUCUUUAUUUUUAAAAAAAUUUAUUUAUUUUAUGUUUGUGAGUACACUGUUGCUGUGGACAGACACAUCAGAAGGCACUGGAUCCUAUUACAGAUGGCUGUGAACCCACAGAUGUUUGCUAGGAAUUGAACUCUUAACCGUAACCGCUAAGCUAUCUCUCCAGCCCAGAUUUUUUUCUUUAUUAUAAAAAGUACAAAUAGAAAAACACAAAGCACACACUGAAAUUUACCAAAUUGUAAUAUUUUUCUUUGAGAUUUUUUUAAUUCAUUUUGAUCAUCCUUUCCUCUUCCCAGAUUACAUUCAGAUUUUAAUAAAAGUCACUAAAAGUAAAGAAUUAACUUAUACCUAGUUUUGGGGUGCUGUCUAUAAGCCUGGAAUACCUUAUGUUCAUUGAUAAUUCUAUGCUUAAAAACUUAAUUCUAAGCUGGGUGGUGGUGAUCCGUGCCUUUAAUCCCAGCACUUGUUAGGGUUUAGUGUCAGGCAGGUGGAUCUCUGAGUUCCAGGCUAUCCUGAUCUACUGACUAAGUUCUAGGACAGCCAGGACUACACAGAGAAAGUCUGUUGGGAGCAGGAGGGACCUUAAUUCUAUUAACUAUUCUCAUUACUGUACCUAAGGCCAAUUAAGGCAAAUUUAGUGGUACCUAGCACAGAGGAGGCUAGGGGAGUAGGAUAGAUACCAGCCUGUACAAUAUAAACCUUAUCUCAACAUUGAAAACAUGGACCUCGUCCCGUUUAAUUCAAAAUACAUAUGAAAUAAAUUUAAGGGGCUGGAGAGGUGGCUCACUAUGGGCUAUCAGUCCUUUUUCAGGCGAUCUAAUUCUUUUGGCCUCUGGGUAUCAAGCACACAAUGCACAGACAUAAGUGCACGUUGAGCUGGAUGGUGGUGCACACACCUUUAGAUGGAUCUGAGUUUGAGACCAACCUGGUCUACAGAGCAAGUUCCAUGAAAGCUAAGACUAUACAGCAAAACCCUGUCUCAAACAAAAUCUUUUUUAAAAAAAGAGGUGGGGGUUGGGGAUUUAGUUCAGUGGUAGAGCGCUUGCCUAGCAAGCGCAAGGCCCUGAUUCGGUCCCCAGCUCCGGGAAAAAAAAAAAAAGAAUACAUGAAUUUAAGAAAUCUUUCUUCGGGGCUGGGGAUUUAGCUCAGUGGUAGAGCGCUUACCUAGGAAGCGCAAGGCCCUGGGUUCGGUCCCCAGCUCCAAAAAAAAAAAAAAGAAAUCUUUCUUCAAUGGUGAAACAUCCAUUUUAGAAUCAUCCAUUUGUUUCUCACAGCUCCAGUACAGGUGUACUGAAAAUGUGGGCCUGGCUAUGUCUAGUACAUCUGGUAUAUGUUUAGUGAGGGCUUAGUAACACAAGUACAGUGUUGGAGAAUAGUAAAUUCAAGGAGCUUCAUGGAAGCAAUACCUGGGAUUACGCUGCUCAAUAAGUAGACACUGAAGAGGUGGUUUCUAAUAUAAGAAUAUCAGCAUUAUACGGUUAUAAUCUCAACAGAGAACAAAUAGUGACAGUUCAUGUUUAGCUAUCAUUUUCAUUGCUUGCUAUAGGAGGUACCAGUUUUGAAAUUUUAGCACAAGUCCAGGUAACUUAGCAGGUAAACCUGACUUGUUUCAACCCCCAGAACCCACCUUACAAGGAAAACCUCUGUAAAGUUGUUCUCUGACCUUAUGUCUGCCAGCCUAAACUCACAUAUACAUUAUACACUAACACAAUGUAAACCUUAAGAACAAGGGCGCCUGACAGUGUCCUUUAACAAGGAAAGGAGCUGAAAAUAUAACAGGUUUGUUUAACCUUAAAUCCACUGCACAGGAACCGCUACUUGGAUCAAGAAAAAGCAAAAAGAAAAAUUACAUUUUUGAGUAUGUUUUCUGCACAUAUCCCAAAGAAGUGCAGCAACCAUUGUCAUACAGACCUGGUGACAAAAUUCUGUUUAAAGCACACCAUCUGUGCAUGAUUUCAUUAAACAUACCAGGACUUGGGAAGUUUGAGUUAAGAACUGGCUUGGGCAUUCCAAGAUCAUAUCUCAGAAAACAUCCUGGAUGCUGGGAUUAAAGUGUAACCGUUGAUGAACUCCACUCUCCGCGAAAAAUAAUACCAAGAUUUUUGGAGUUCAUAGCUCACAAUUCAACAGUUCUUAAUCCUUAUACACAUACAGAGAGAUUUUCACAUACUUGUCCAGAAUGAAAAGCAAUGUAGACAAAAAAUUCUCUUUGAACAAACACAAUAGUAUAAGUGAAGAAUGAUUUCCAAGGCCCUCUGCUCCGCAUAGGAACCUUAGAUCAGAAUCUGACCCUAUCAGUACUGAUACUACUUAACUGUGAGUGGUCCUUAGUAACAGGUACUGAGCUCAGUGAUUCCUAAUGUCAACCUAGCGGGACCUGGACUUGUUACAAUACACACAUAGACCACUGCUAAGUUCCAGGAGCUAAAUACUGCCUCGUUGAUCCUAAGCAUAUAGGAUAAAGGGCUUUCCCUUCCAGAACAGUUAAUAUGCCUGGGCCAUGUGUUACUGAAGUACAGCAGAUCUAUCACAGUUUUAAAAACAAUGCUGUCUUUUUCUUUUCCUUUGGAGCUGGGGACCGAACCCAGGGCCUUGCACUUGCUAGGCAAGCGCUCUACCACUGAGCUAAAUCCCCAACCCUAAUACUGUCUUUUUAAGACAGGGUUUUACCUUAUAGACUAGGUUGGCCCCAAAUUUGGCAAUCCAUCUGCUUUUGCCUCCUGAGUGCUAGUAUUAUUUAAGGGGUUACUUUCUGUGGGUUGUAGGUAUAGGUGAGUGCUGAUGUCAGAGGAGGCCAGAGGUGCCAGAUCUCCCUGUACCUAGUUAACUAAGUAACUAUGAGGUACCCAACUUAGUUGUUGGGACCCAAACUUCAGCCGGAUGAUAGAACAACAUUCACAGUUAACCAGUAGGCAUCACCAAUUCCUUGAGAGCUACAUCCACUCCGUCUUCCUGGUCCUAUUUUCCCGCACUCACCACCACCAGGUCUUGAGAUGGAUUGGAUUAGCCUGUAAUUUAGAACUCUGGUUGCCUUCCAAAAGCUGCGAUUGCUGGCUUCUCUAACCAGCUUCUGGCUUCUGUUUUUGUUUAAAAAAAUAAAUAACUGGGUGUGGUGGUACGUGCUUUUAAGUCCUGGCACUGGGGACAUGAAGGUAGGAGGAUAUUCAAGGUCAGCUUGGUGUAGAGUUUCCAGGACAGCCUGGCCUAUAUAAACUCAACCAGUUGUGUUUUUAAGACGGGAUUUCUGUAACCCCAUAGUAUAAUCAUGCCAUGUUUGUAUAUACAAGGCACUAAUUUUGGUCUGUCAAAGAAUCUGCUCUGUAGCCAGGCUGACCUCAUGUUCUGGCCUGCCUCUGCCCACUGAGCGCU
ensembl:lncRNA